rnacentral:rRNA from 1 species
AGGACGAACGCUGGCGGCGUGCCUAAUACAUGCAAGUCGAACGGUCUUUCUAUGGAAGCUUGCUCCACUGAGAAGAUAGUGGCGAACGGGUGAGUAACACGUGGGUAACCUGCCCAUAAGAGGGGGGAUAACAUCCGGAAACGGGUGCUAGUACCGCAUAGUUUUCUUGAUCGCAUGAUCGGGAAAGGAAAGACGGCCUUUGUGCUGUCGCUUAUGGAUGGACCCGCGGCGUAUUAGUUAGUUGGUGAGGUAACGGCUCACCAAGACGAUGAUACGUAGCCGACCUGAGAGGGUGAUCGGCCACAUUGGGACUGAGACACGGCCCAAACUCCUACGGGAGGCAGCAGUAGGGAAUCUUCCGCAAUGGACGAAAGUCUGACGGAGCAACGCCGCGUGAGUGAAGAAAAGGUUUUCGGAUCGUAAAACUCUGUUGUCAGAGAAGAACAAGUUGGAGAGUAACUGCUCCAGCCUUGACGGUAUCUGACCAGAAAGCCACGGCUAACUACGUGCCAGCCGCAGC